rnacentral:rRNA from 1 species
AACGAACGCUGGCGGCAUGCCUAACACAUGCAAGUCGAACGAGACCUUCGGGUCUAGUGGCGCACGGGUGCGUAACGCGUGGGAACCUGCCCUUAGGUUCGGAAUAACUCCCCGAAAAGGGUGCCAAUACCGGAUAAUGUCUUCGGACCAAAGAUUUAUCGCCUUUGGAUGGGCCCGCGUUGGAUUAGCUAGUUGGUAGGGUAAAAGCCUACCAAGGCGACGAUCCAUAGCUGGUCUGAGAGGAUGAUCAGCCACACUGGGACUGGGACACGGCCCAGACUCCUGCGGGAGGCAGCAGUGGGGAAUAUUGGACAGUGGGCGGAAGCCAGAUCCACCAAUGCCGCGUGAGUGAUUAAGGCCUUAGGGUUGUAAACCUCGUUUACCCCGGAUGAUAAUGACAGUACCGGGAGAAUAAGCUCCGGCUAACUCCGUG